AUUUGUGAAUCUACUUCCAGACGUCUUCAAGAAUUCUUUCCUGGCCGUUGGCUCCGGACCACCCCACCAUCACCCAACAACCCCAUCAUUUUGUGACUUUAACAUGGGCUUCGAGUCUUUUCAUCUGGGCUCUGAGCUGGUGCAAACCCGCCAGCACCACUGGCUCCUCCCCCCACCCUCAAUGUCAAGGAGUGAAGAGCAUCCACUUGGACCGCCCACCUCAGGUUCCCACACUGGUGUCCCAGGAAAUCAAUGAGCAAACUAAUGUGCCUUCCUAUUCCCGUAAACCUGUAGAAGACCUCCAACUUCUCUUCAAGUGGAAAUAAUGGUUGUACCUUUCUUUUUCAUUCCCCUUUCC